rnacentral:rRNA from 1 species
CGCGUAGGCGGUGUGUCAAGUCAGGCGUGAAAGCCCCGGGCUCAACCUGGGAACAGCGCUUGAGACUGGCACGCUCGAGUUCGGGAGAGGAUGGUGGAAUUCCCAGUGUAGAGGUGAAAUUCGUAGAUAUUGGGAAGAACACCGAUGGCGAAGGCAGCCAUCUGGACCGACACUGACGCUGAGGCGCGAAAGCGUGGGAGCAAACA